rnacentral:tRNA from 1 species
UCCGAUGUGGUGUAGUGGCUAACAUUGCUGUCUUUCACACAGCAGCCCCGGGUUCGAUUCCCGGCGUCGGAA